rnacentral:tRNA from 1 species
GGUUUCGUAGUGUAGUGGUUAGCACUCCAGACUUUGAAUCUGGCGACCUGGGUUCAAAUCCUGGCGAGACCU